UUAACUCAUAUUUUGUAUGGAAUGGGAUAAUUUACCUACGUUUGCCGCUAGAGGCGCUGUUCCAACUGCAUACAAAAUUGGGUUA
rnacentral:pre_miRNA from 1 species